AAAAUUUUAGUUUAAUAAUUAAAAUAUUUCAUUUACAUUGAAAAGUUUAUUAAUAUUUAUAAUAAAAUUUUA
rnacentral:tRNA from 1 species